rnacentral:rRNA from 1 species
AGGACGAACGCUGGCGGCGUGCUUAACACAUGCAAGUCACGGGGGCCCGCAAGGGUAACCGGCGAACGGGUGCGUAACACGUGAGCAAUCUGCCGAUCUCUGGGGGAUAGCCAGCCUAACGGCUGGGUAAUACCGCAUACGCUCAUUGGGGGGAGUCCCCUGGUGAGGAAACCUCCGGGGGAGAUCGAGGAGCUCGCGACCUAUCAGCUAGUUGGCGGGGUAACGGCCCACCAAGGCAGCGACGGGUAGCUGGUCUGAGAGGAUGGCCAGCCACAUUGGGACUGCGACACGGCCCAGACUCCUACGGGAGGCAGCAGUGGGGAAUAUUGCGCAAUGGACGAAAGUCUGACGCAGCGACGCCGCGUGUGGGAUGAAGCCUUUCGGGGUGUAAACCACUGUUGCCCGGGACGAAACUCCUCUUUCGAGAGGAUUGACGGUACCGGGUGAGGAAGCACCGGCUAACUCUGUGCCAGCAGCCGCGGUAA